AGUCGAGGGGUAACAGGAGUAGCUUGCUAUUUGCUGACGACCGGCGCACGGGUGCGUAACGCGUAUAGAAUCUACCUUAUACUGGGGGAUAGCCUUUGGAAACGAAGAUUAAUACCCCAUAGUAUUAUUUUUUGGCAUCAUUAAAUAAUUAAAGUUUCGGCGGUAUAAGAUGACUAUGCGUUCUAUUAGUUAGUUGGUAAGGUAACGGCUUACCAAGACUUCGAUAGAUAGGGGUCCUGAGAGGGAGAUCCCCCACACUGGUACUGAGACACGGACCAGACUCCUACGGGAGGCAGCAGUGAGGAAUAUUGGACAAUGGAGGCAACUCUGAUCCAGCCAUGCCGCGUGUAGGAAGACUGCCCUAUGGGUUGUAAACUACUUUUAUAUGGGAAGAAUAAGAUCUACGUGUAGAUUGAUGACGGUACCAUAAGAAUAAGCACCGGCUAACUCCGUGCCAGCAGCCGCGGUAAUACGGAGGGUGCAAGCGUUAUCCGGAAUCAUUGGGUUUAAAGGGUCCGUAGGCGGGCAUAUAAGUCAGUGGUGAAAGUCUGUGGCUUAACCAUAGAAUUGCCAUUGAUACUGUAUGUCUUGAAUUAUUGUGAAGUGGUUAGAAUAUGUAGUGUAGCGGUGAAAUGCUUAGAGAUUACAUAGAAUACCGAUUGCGAAGGCAGAUCACUAACAAUAUAUUGACGCUGAUGGACGAAAGCGUAGGUAGCGAACAGGAUUAGAUACCCUGGUAGUCUACGCCGUAAACGAUGGAUACUAGUUGUUUGGUUUUCGGACUGAGUGACUAAGCGAAAGUGAUAAGUAUCCCACCUGGGGAGUACGUUCGCAAGAAUGAAACUCAAAGGAAUUGACGGGGGCCCGCACNAGCGGUGGAGCAUGUGGUUUAAUUCGAUGAUACGCGAGGAACCUUACCAGGGCUUAAAUGUAGUCUGACAGCUUUAGAGAUAGAGUUUUCUUCGGACAGAUUACAAGGUGCUGCAUGGUUGUCGUCAGCUCGUGCCGUGAGGUGUCAGGUUAAGUCCUAUAACGAGCGCAACCCCUGUGGUUAGUUGCCAGCGAGUAAUGUCGGGAACUCUAGCCAGACUGCCGGUGCAAACCGUGAGGAAGGUGGGGAUGACGUCAAAUCAUCACGGCCCUUACGUCCUGGGCCACACACGUGCUACAAUGGUAGGGACAGAGAGCAGCCACUUAGCGAUAAGGAGCGAAUCUAUAAACCCUAUCUCAGUUCGGAUUGGAGUCUGCAACUCGACUCCAUGAAGCUGGAAUCGCUAGUAAUCGGAUAUCAGCCAUGAUCCGGUGAAUACGUUCCCGGGCCUUGUACACACCGCCCGUCAAGCCAUGGAAGCUGGGGGUACC
rnacentral:rRNA from 1 species